AUAUCUGUCAAGUCAGAAAUGUAAACAAACACGGACAACCGCCCGUAAAGAUUGUGUGCAGAAUAAUCGUUAAAUUUUAUGUGAAAACUCGGGAAAAGGAAAAACAUCAUUUCAUCCCGAAAUUUGGCAACAUUCGUCCGAGUAUGAUCGAGCAGCUGUGUGUGUGUAUGCCGACGAAAUACGACGCCGUUUCUACAACAAUCACUAAAGCCGGCUGUGAUCGUGAUCGGCACAUUCUCAACUGGACCAACACACCGGUCGUUGUGUAUCUUCAAGCAAACCAACGUUGCCAUACACCACAAAAUAGCAUGGAAAGGAAA